AAGUCGUAACAAGGUUUCCGUAGGUGAACCUGCGGAAGGAUCAUUACUGAGUGAGGGCCCUCUGGGUCCAACCUCCCACCCGUGUUUAUUGUACCUUGUUGCUUCGGUGCGCCCGCCUCACGGCCGCCGGGGGGCUUCUGCCCCCGGGUCCGCGCGCACCGGAGACACCAUUGAACUCUGUCUGAAGAUUGCAGUCUGAGCAUAAACUAAAUAAGUUAAAACUUUCAACAACGGAUCUCUUGGUUCCGGCAUCGAUGAAGAACGCAGCGAAAUGCGAUAACUAAUGUGAAUUGCAGAAUUCAGUGAAUCAUCGAGUCUUUGAACGCACAUUGCGCCCCCUGGUAUUCCGGGGGGCAUGCCUGUCCGAGCGUCAUUGCUGCCCUCAAGCACGGCUUGUGUGUUGGGCUCCGUCCCCCCGGGGACGGGUCCGAAAGGCAGCGGCGGCACCGAGUCCGGUCCUCGAGCGUAUGGGGCUUUGUCACCCGCUCUGUAGGCCCGGCCGGCGCCAGCCGACAACCAAUCAUCCUUUUCAGGUUGACCUCGGAUCAGGUAGGGAUACCCGCUGAACUUAA
rnacentral:rRNA from 1 species